UACGGAGGGUGCAAGCGUUAUCCGGAUUCACUGGGUUUAAAGGGUGCGUAGGUGGGCAAGUAAGUCAGUGGUGAAAUCUCCGGGCUUAACCCGGAAACUGCCAUUGAUACUAUUUGUCUUGAAUACUGUGGAGGUCAGCGGAAUAUGUCAUGUAGCGGUGAAAUGCUUAGAUAUGACAUAGAACACCAAUUGCGAAGGCAGCUGGCUACA
rnacentral:rRNA from 1 species